rnacentral:lncRNA from 1 species
UGGCUCAGAGAGAGUGGGCGUGUGGUCAGGAGAGAAGGGACUCACACACCUUUGUGCCAACAGGGCUUGAGGUGAGAUGAGCAUGGGGACCUGUCCCAGGGAGUCGGAGUCACAAGCACCUCUUCGGCAAAGCCCACCUCCCUCUCUCGCUUGAUUCCCCGGCCAUCCUUAUCAAAGACCUUCCAGGUGAACAGGCAGCCAUCCUCAGCAGCAGUCAGCAGGAACUGAUCAUCAAAGUGAUUUCCUGAAGGAAAUAUAAUGAUCUGUUCAUCGAAGUAGAAGAUAUUGUUGGCCACGUGGGAUCGAAGACCAAAAACAUGCAGCGUCUGAGCUACCACGGCUGACAUGAUCUCCCGCCAAAGAGUUCUGCUGAAGACCAAGGCAGCACUUCAGAGUGGAGAGCACCGCCCCGCUCCGACCCCGCCCCCGC